UCAUUAAUUGCACUCCUUCCCGUAUGCUAAUAAUAAUAAUAAUCUUUAUUGCACACAUAAAUUACAUCACGAAAAAUACAAUUAAUAAAAGGAAAAAAAGAAAGUUUUACAAAAGACAGUGUGCAAGAUCACCUACUAUAACCAUAAGGGGCUAAUCGAGACAGGUGAUCUAUACUUAUAUAUCAUUGACAUUUAUAUUACAGUGAACUAUAAUUGCCGAU